GAUGAACGCUGGCGGCGUGCCUAAUACAUGCAAGUCGAGCGAAAGGACGAGAAUCUUGCUUUUCUGAUGUUAGCGGCGCACGGGUGAGUAACAUGUGUAUAACCUCCCUAUAUGACUGAGAUAACUUCGGGAAACCGGAGCUAAUCCCGGAUAAUAUUUUGAUCCGCAUGGUUCAAAAGUGAAAGUCGGUCUUUCUGUCUGUAAUAGAUGGUUCCGCGCUGCAUUAGCUAGUUGGUAAGUUAACGGCUUAUCAAGGCUACGAUGCAUAGCCGACCUGAGAGGGUGAUCGGCGACACUGGAACUGGGACAGGGUCCAGGGGCCUGCGGGAGGCAGCAGUAGGGAAUCUGACGCAAUAGGCGAAAGCCUGACGGAGCAACGCGACGUGAGUUGUGAAGAUCUUGGGAUCGUGAAACUGUGUUAUUAGGGGAGAACAGAUGUGUAAGGAACUGUGCACAGCUUGACGGUACCGAAUAAGAAAGCCACGGCUAACUACGUG
rnacentral:rRNA from 1 species